GGUUCAAUGAACCUCAAAUGCAAUCUCUCUCCCACGCCAUUUCUCUAUUAAAUAUACAGUUCUGGGACACAAAGAUCAAAAGUGAGAGAGAGUCACAACUCCUUUUAUGUCUUUGGUUGCCGCUAGCUCUGGCCUGCUGCUCUUUUCGGACUUGGUUCAGCUUCAACUUCAAUCUUUGUGCUAAAUGCUCACAAAUUAGAGGCUCUCUUCGACCAUUGGAUUCAUCACCUUUUCAAGCUGCUAGCUAAUCGGGCAGGCAAUAUCAGUACUGGAAGUCGAUAUUGGGUGAAACGUCCUACUCAGGAGGAACACAAGAGGAUCAUCGAGGAACGAGCUAAACGUCCUCUAGCUAGCUAAGCAGCAACAUUUUGAUCUGCUCCUGUAUUUGCAGCAUGCAGCAGUCGUUGAGAAGGUUGAUGGAAGUAUUAACAAUGAUCAUUAUGAUAACCUACAGCUAGAUAUAUAUUUGUAGCAGAAACCUGGCCUUGGGAAUUAAGCUCGGUGACAUUAAUAUUCCUGUAGAUCGAUCUCAGCUUAGACAGUACUUGGGAACUCAACUCAAACUCUUCAUGCCAUGCCAGUACUUUGAUGCCGGGGAAAAGCUGAUCUGUAGUACCAAGAAUAUUGCUUCCAAGUAGUGAUGAAGGUGACGGUUCUUUGGAGGGCUAGCUCUUCAGAGUCAUCUAAUAAAUAGGUUGAUAAUUGCACUAAAAAAUCAGUCUCCAAUCUCUGGAGUAGGCCUUCCAGUUGUUCAGCUAGACCCUUCAUUCGAAGGAAGGGAAUAUGGUGUGAUUGGUAGCUUCUUGAAGUGGAAUGCAAUGUCCAAAGUGGAUAACCCUGAAUAUUCGAGUUUUUACGCAUAUGUUUCACUCUGAUCAAUUGGGAAUGAGCCAUGUCACAGACCAGUACUGCCAUGGCAGGGUGAGAAAGUUGGGAUGUGAUGGCGCCGGCGAGAGGACACGUGCCAUGCACGGUGGCUGAGGAACAUAUUGGCCUUUAACAUGAAGGCUAUGGGAAAGAUCAUUCGAUGGCUUUAGCAAAUGUCCUCCACUUCUGGUACAUUACUAGGAUCAAUAAACUGCACUGGUGAUGUCCUUGUUUGAGAUCCCGAUCGAGUUCUCGUACUUAAUUACUGUCAGAAGAGUUCCCCUUUACAACUUCAAGUUGGUGAAGCUUUUGUGAUCAUGUAUUGCAGACUGUAAGUACGUACAUGAUCCAAGGCCGGUCAAUCUGUCCCUUUGUUCUCCUCUCCUGCCUUGAAUAAAUCUCAGUGGAAGGAGAACAAAGGGAGCAGUCUGGUUGUAUCGAUGUGUUCAUCGAUCCGUCCUAUCAUUUCUAGCACAAGAAUCUGCAGCUUGUUAAUUACAAGUACUACUCGUGUACUAGUAGUACUUUGUGAGUUUGUUUUCCUUUCCUUUCAUGGUGCGUUGAGAUCAUAGACUUCCGGUUGAAACUCGAUGUAUGUCGUAUUUACAAGUACAAUACUAAGGCUGGAGAUUUUGAGACAAAAUAUAGCAUCUCAAAAAAAAAAAACUGUUUAAACAGUUUCAAA